rnacentral:rRNA from 1 species
UACGAGGUGUGCGAGCGUUGUUCGGAAUCACUGGGCAUAAAGAGUUCGUAGGUGGCUUUGUAAGUUGGUUGUGAAAUCCCUCGGCUCAACCGGGGAAUUGCUGCCACUACUGCAAGGCUUGAGUGCGAAAGGGGCAGGUGGAAUUCCAGGUGUAGCGGUGGAAUGCGUAGAUAUCUGGGAGAACGCCAAAGGCGAAGGCAGCCUGCUGGGUCGCAACUGACACUGAGGAACGAAAGCUAGGGGAGCAAACAGGAUUAGAUACCCUGGUAGUCCUAGCCGUAAACGAUGGGCACUGUGCGAUGGCGGGUCUGAUCCCGUCAUUGCAGAAGCUAAUGCGUUAAGUGCCCCGCCUGGGGAGUAUGGUCGCAAGGCUAAA